AUCGAGCCCAGUAUCUUGCGGUUGACCCAGAGUGUAUCUUCCAGAAAGACAGCCAGUCUCAAUUUGGAGUGAUGGAGCAUCCACCACUUACCUAGGGAGAUGACAGUUCUCCCUGCAUUCACCUGGCUCAGAGAUUUCACCAUUUCGCUGAUAAAGCAGUGUCUGACCGUUUAGUAUGAUUUUACCGACAGUCAGGUUCUGUUGCUGUCCGUGAGCUUGACCAUAAAACCCUGAAAUUCCUUUGUGUCA